CGUGUACGCUUCACGGCGUCCGCGAACAAACCUCCUUCGUCUCUCUCGCUCGCUAGGCGAAGAGAGGGGGCGGCGUGCUUUCCGGGCCCGCUUCAGUAACCGUCGCGAGCCCUCCCCACGCCGACCGACACCCCAUCAUCCGCCGUCCAAUCCCCUAGAGCGCUAAUGUCCACGCUCUUCCUCGCUCCUCCCUGAGGCGACUCGGUAGAAGUCCGAAUCGCCAAGGACCGACGUUCCUCCGUCGUCCGCGUCCCCCCGCCCGCGGAUCCACGUCGCGGGGCUUGGACCCUUGACGGGCCCCAUACACGCGGGCGGGAUCGUGUGGAUCGCGUGGCAAUCCGACGGUCGGUGGUUGCGGCCUUCUGGUGUUGUAUCAUGGAAUAGAGGGGUCAAGCCGCGUGCGCUCGGCACAUGAAACCCCCAAGCGUAACGGCCAGCAGCCCCGACAGCCACUAUAGGAUGGCGUCGCAAUCGCAAUCACAGUCGGAGUCGGAGGGGCCUCCUCGCUUAGGUUUCCUCAAGGAGGGGCCUGACCCAACCACCACCACUACCCCAUCCGCCGCCGGAACUCCGAUGCCCCCAAGCGGACCCUAGCGGAGGGAGAGAACUACCGUUCCUCCUCGAUCAUCCCCUCGCCGCCCUCCGUGGACACUGGCGCCGGGGAAGACCCUGUCGCACGGGUCGGUGUCGCUACUGGGGAGGCGGAGGAACAUGGAGGACACGAUGACGGAGGUGACGGGCUUCUCGGCAGGUGGGUACGGGUAGUUCGCGGUGUACAAUGGGCACGGGGGAGCGAUGGUGGCGCGGGCGUGCCGGGACCGGCUGCAGGUGGCUGUGACGGAGGGCCGCCCUGGUGGGUGAGGGGGCUGAGACGUGGAGGUGGGCGUGAAGGUGGGCGCCGAGGUGAUGUUGGAGGCCCCGGAGCUGUAGCAGGGGUUGGUGGUGGGAGACAAGUGGAUCAUGGUGGCCACAUGCGGCGACUCCCGGACGGUGCUCUCACGCGGCGGGGUGGCCGUGUCCCCUUUCUAUCCAUCACGAUUGGUUUCUGUCGAUAAAGAUCAUUACAUCACAAAGGGAAGAGAGGGAAAAGCUCAUCCUCUUUUAAUCAUCGACUGAUGGGAAUCAAUCGACAAAUCAAAACCAGUAACCAAAGAGUUUAGAUCCCAGUACUGCAUGAGAAGGCUAGUUGAGAUCGCUUUGGAUAUCUUUGUAUCCAUCAUCCUAUAAAACUAUCUACAUUUAUUAUCUUUAUAUCCAUUC